GAUGAACGCUAGCGGCAGGCCUAACACAUGCAAGUCGAGGGAGAAGCCCUUUCGGGGGCAGAAACCGGCGCACGGGUGCGUAACGCGUAUGCAACCUACCUUUCACAGGGGGAUAGCCCGAAGAAAUUUGGAUUAAUACCCCAUAAUAUUAUUGGAUGGCAUCAUUUGAUAAUUAAAACUGCGGUGGUGAAAGAUGGGCAUGCGUCCUAUUAGCUAGUUGGAGUGGUAACGGCACCCCAAGGCUACGAUAGGUAGGGGUCCUGAGAGGGAGAUCCCCCACACUGGUACUGAGACAGGGACCAGACUCCUACGGGAGGCAGCAGUGAGGAAUAUUGGUCAAUGGUCGGAAGACUGAACCAGCCAUGCCGCGUGCAGGAAGAAUGCCUUAUGGGUCGUAAACUGCUUUUAUAUGGGAAGAAUAAGGCGUACGUGUACGUUGAUGACGGUACCAUAUGAAUAAGCAUCGGCUAACUCCGUG
rnacentral:rRNA from 1 species